rnacentral:sRNA from 1 species
GCCAGGUGUAGUGAUGCAUACCUGUAAUCCUAGCAACCUGGGAGGCUAAGGAGGAGGAUCACAAGUUCCAGGCUGACCUUGGAAACUCAGGGAGAUCUGUCUCAAU